rnacentral:rRNA from 1 species
GAUGAACGCUGACAGAAUGCUUAACACAUGCAAGUCAUUGGCGAAGCUGCGUUUGCGCAGUCUAGCCAAGGCGGACGGGUGAGUAACGCGUAAGGAACUUGCCCUGCAGACAGGGAUAACAGACGGAAACGACUGAUAACACCUGGUAUUGUCAGGCUGGCGCAUGCCGGCCUGAUGAAAGGAGACGCUGCAGGAGAGCCUUGCGUCCUAUUAGCUAGUUGGUGGGGUAACGGCCCACCAAGGCGAUGAUAGGUAGCCGGCCCGAGAGGGUGAACGGCCACAAGGGGACUGAGAUACGGCCCUUACUCCUACGGGAGGCAGCAGUGGGGAAUAUUGGACAAUGGGGGCAACCCUGAUCCAGCAAUUCUGUGUGCACGAAGAAGGUUUUUCGGAUUGUAAAGUGCUUUUCAGCAGGGAAGAAGAAAGUGACGGUACCUGCAGAAGAAGCGACGCUAA